rnacentral:rRNA from 1 species
UNUUAAAAGUUCGGGGCUUAACCCCGNGAGGGGAUGGAAACUGCUGAUCUAGAGUGUCGGAGAGGAAAGUGGAAUUCCUAGUGUAGCGGUGAAAUGCGUAGAUAUUAGGAAGAACACCAGUGGCGAAGGCGACUUUCUGGACGAAAACUGACGCUGAGGCGCGAAAGCCAGGGGAGCGAACGGGAUUAGAUACCCCGGUAGCCCUGGCCGUAAACGAUAGGUACUAGGUGUAGGAGGUAUCGACCCCUUNUGCGCCGGAGUUAACGCAAUAAGUACCCCGCCUGGGGAGUACGACCGCAAGGUUGAAACUCAAAGGAAUUGACGGGGGCCCGCACAAGCGGUGGAGUAUGUGGUUUAAUUCGACGCAACGCGAAGAACCUUACCAGGUCUUGACAUUGAUGGACAGAACUAGAGAUAGUUCCUCUUCUUCGGAAGCCAGAAAACAGGUGGUGCACGGUUGUCGUCAGCUCGUGUCGUGAGAUGUUGGGUUAAGUCCCGCAACGAGCGCAACCCCUAUCUUAUGUUGCCAGCACUUCGGGUGGGAACUCAUGAGAGACUGCCGCAGACAAUGCGGAGGAAGGCGGGGAUGACGUCAAAUCAUCAUGCCCCUUAUGACCUGGGCUACACACGUACUACAAUGGGAGUUAAUAGACGGAAGCGAGAUCGCGAGAUGGAGCAAACCCGAGAAACACUCUCUCAGUUCGGAUCGUAGGCUGCAACUCGCCUACGUGAAGUCGGAAUCGCUAGUAAUCGCAGGUCAGCAUACUGCGGUGAAUACGUUCCCGGGCCUUGUACACACCGCCCGUCACACCACGAAAGUCGGAAGUGCCCAAAGCCGGUGGGGUAACCUUCGGGA